rnacentral:rRNA from 1 species
AGACGUCUACAUUAGAUACCCCUGUAGUCCCAGCCGUAAACUAUGCGCGUUAGGUGUAUCGGUGACCACGAGUCACCGAGGUGCCGAAGGGAAACCGUGAAACGUGCCGCCUGGGAAGUACGGUCGCAAGGCUGAAACUUAAAGGAAUUGGCGGGGGAGCACCACGACGGGUGGAGCCUGCGGUUUAAUUGGACUCAACGCCGGGAAGCUCACCGGAUAAGACAGCGGAAUGAUUGCCGGGCUGAAGACUCUGCAUGACUAGCUG